UACGAAGGGGGCUAGCGUUGCUCGGAAUCACUGGGCGUAAAGCGCACGUAGGCGGGUCGUUAAGUCGGGGUGGAAAUCCUGGAGCUCAACUCCAGAACUGCCUUCGAUACUGGAGAGCUUGAGUCCGGGAGAGGUGAGUGGAACUGCGAGUGUAGAGGUGAAAUUCGUAGAUAUUCGCAAGAACACCAGUGGCGAAGGCGGCUCACUGGCCCGGUACUGACGCUGAGGUGCGAAAGCGUGGGAGCAAACAGG
rnacentral:rRNA from 1 species